UCUUAGAUAUUCCUUCAGUAACUCUAGGGUUUAUGAACUGUCCCCUAGUUCAGAGUAAACUGUCAUUUGGGAGUGAUAACAAGAGGAUAAAGACAUCACAGAUGGGGAGAAGGAAGCUGGACUUCUGUCUUGGUCUAAAAAAAGGAGGAAAUAUAUCAUCCAUGGGAAAGCUCAGUGAGUCCUGGAUAGGAGUUGAGGGGGUUUGCUGAAGAGAUAGCCUAGAACUGAGCCUUCCCCAUAUGGGAAUCAGGAGCUGCGAGCCUCCCAGCAGCAUCUGGACGUUCCUGCUUGUUAUGGUUCCUGGAAGUCAGAGAUUUUAUAUCAUUAAUAUAUUCAUUCCAAAAACCAGGUGUUGGGGAGGGCAAAGUUGCUUUCCUGAGAGGUCAUGGAUUUUACUCUUUUUGCCCAGAAGAAAACGGUCCUAAGGAAAAGGAAAAGACCAAUAUUGUGUCCUCAGCUCAGAGUAAACUCCAUGCAUUGGAUUCCUAUGGUGCAGUUUGUGUCUGACACUGGUAUCUGCGAGAGAGAAGUGCUACCAAGUUGAGACUUCAUCAUCACAGUCUUUUCACUAGUAUUACUCUGAGUACCAUUCCCUGACAGUUACCCUUUAUAUGUCUGAGUCAAUAGGGACUUACAGCCUCAGGAGAAAGAUAACAUGGGACUUUAAUAAACAUGCAUCGUGUAGUAAUACCUAGUCUCUUCCCUUACUUUACCUUCCCUGUCUGUAUUUUCCUAAUGGAUGUUGUACAUAAAUGUAGUGGUGACUGCCUUUCAGGAGUAUAGAAGUUGUCAUAUGUGGCACCCAAAUGAAGAAUUUGACUUUUCUUCCCUGGCUGGAGCUCCUUACCAAUGAUCUACUACAUCGUUUUCCCUAUGACUGCUGCUUUGAUUUGUGUGUGUGUGUGAGUGAGUUGUGUUUGUGUGUGUGUGUAUCUGUCUCUCUCUCUGUCUGUCUUUCUGUCUUAGUCUCUGUCCAUCUGUUUCUUCCACAUGAUACCUAUCUAUACUUCAGUUUGACUUCUUAAUUGCUCAUUCCAAGAUUGACCCAUCAUGCUUUCCCUGAGUGUUUGCUAUUGAUGACUCAAAUUACACCUGUGUUAAUCAAUGCACCUGUUGCCAGAACUGUGUACCACUGAUUACAUCACAAUCAGUCUCAUGGCUAAAAUAAAUAAUUUUCGAGGCUCUGAGGGAAUUUUUUAUCAGAAUUUAAAAGUUUUCUGUAUUUUUUACUCCCCUAUCCAUACUGUUGUAGUCUGUGGAUAUUCCCCAAGUCUUUGCUCACUUGUAUUUAUCUAUGUACCUGGCCUACUGGGAAGACAUCAUCCCAACCCUCCAAUAUUACUUAGCAGGAGGAAUAGAUGAAGAAUUUGGAAAAAUUGGUCAUUUAGCUACAGAAGAUGUCCCCUGAGAUGGAUUAACUGUGUCGAAUUAACACAUCACUGACAAGAAUUAUGAACUAUGUUCUCAGUUUAUUUUCUUCUUUGUCAUUUUGAGUGUGCUUCCAAAGGAGUGGGGGACCAUUUGUGGGCUGUGUUUGAGAAUUGAGUCUUAAUUAUUCAUGCAUGAAGGUGGUAAAAAAUUCAAUAGAUCAGUGAUAUCUCUGGGUUAGAAGGGAUAGUGAUAGAAAGUCUUCCUUUGUGUCUCAGGCAAAGAUCCUUGAAAGGGCAACAUGGUUUGUUUAUUUGGAGAAGAUCUAGUUAAAGGGAAGUUAUGUGCUGUUGAAUGGGACUAUCUUCCGGAUACUCUAAUGUAUGCUGGAAUUUCCAUUGUAUUCUCUGUGAUGUCACUAGUGUUAUGGAAACAGAAACUGCCCUCGUGGCAAUUAGUUAGUACUUAUUUGUUUACCCACUCAAAUGUUUUUCAGGAUGAUCAAGCUAUUUACAGAGAAAACAGAGAGCAUGGAGAGACAAAAGAGAGAGGAGGAAGAAAUUAAGAUACUUUCUUGUUAAAGAAGUGAAACAUAAAUUAUCUGGUGCAAAAAGGCAAGUGAGAGCAGUGGGCUGGUUCUGAGGAACCUCCUAGAGGAGGUAGUCUUGGCUCAGGCCUUCUAGGAGUAGGACUUAUGACCUGAAGGCUCUGAAUCCCUAAAGAAGAGACCCAGUUUCAGGAAUAUCUGAUAAAUUUAUUGGCAGAGAGUCAGGAAUUGUCAAGCAUGCAUCUUGUCUACUAUGCAUUCCUUAGUUUCAUUCUGAAUGAGGAAGAAUGCCAAGAAGAGGCACAGCGAUAAAAGCUUUGACUCUCAGGGUAGAGUAUUGAAUUUUAUCUUCACAGGAUUCCUGGACAUGCCAUAGGAAUUUAUGACAAGGGCUACUCCGCUCACAUGCAUCAAGGUCUCUUACUCUUUGUCUUGAACAUACAUGAUUAAGGCUUGGUGGUCCUUAACACUAUGGACUCCAGGACUUACAUGCAUCCCAUCAGAUACGAACUGAAAAUAUCUUCCAUUUAUUCAUGUCUUGACCAGAUUUUGUUGUUAAGGGCCAGGGCGACUGCAGAAGGCAGUGAGGCACAUGUUUAGGGAUCACGGUUGCGAGAAAGAAAAUAGCUAAUAAGUCCAGCUUGAAGAGAGCUUUCCUCAUCUUUCAGUGCUUCCAAGUAUCUGUAGAUUUCCCAUUUCAUCAUGGUUCAUUAGGGACUCAGCAUUUUCUCUCCUGUGACUGGGCCAUUACUAUGCAUGUUCCCUUGUGUUUCUCUUCAGGGUCUGCUGGGAAGUCGUCAUCCCAACCUUCCACCAUCAGUGAGCUAGUAAAUCAGAUUAAGAAUUUGGAGAAAUUGAUUAUUUAGCUCCAGAAGAUGACCUGUGAGUUUGGUAAACUCCCAGGAAAGCUGACCCAUUGAACCAACAGCAUUUGGACAAAAGAUAGCCAUUAUGCCCACUUCUUUGUUGACAGUCCUGACCCCUCUGUGUUAACCUCAGUUUUCUCACACCACAGGAAAAUGCAACUGUAAUGUCCUCAUGUAUGAACUAAUUUUCUUGUGUGCCACGCAGAGGCAGGACAUGAAGAAAGGAUAGGAGUUUAAUAAGAAACUACAUAAUUCUCAGAAAAGCAGAAGCUGUGUUUUGAAUAAAAGCCUUGGGAUUGGGCAGGAAGAACCUACAAUAAGAAAGCCACCAUCAGAGCUGCCCAUCCUCCCCAGCACUAAAGAAAGAAAAGAUUUACUUUGUCUGGGUUAUGGAGAUUUUCUUGUAGACUGGGCUCAUAGCUUCAGACCUGAAGAGAGGUAGACUAUGGAAAUGGGAGCUCCUUUUGGAGGAUUCUGCUUAUCUUGGAGUAAUUGGGAAAUACUGAGGAAGCCUAAAAUGUUGGUCCACCACCUUAUCCCUUGCUGAGAAUAAAGUCUCCUGGGAACUGGGUAAGCAGGGUAAGCAGGCAUGGCUAACAAGACAAUCCAGGUGGGUAAACAUUUGUCCAUUAGGUAUACAGGGGGAGCAUUUCAUUGACUAAGCUGAAUGUAUCUGCUCUCCACUAUGUUCUAAUUCCAUGUAAGGAAAGUUUUGUUGAUUUUGUCUAUCCUGUGACCCAGCAAGUGUUUUUCACAUUCUUUAUGUUGUUUCUUCACUGAUAUGAACCAUGUGAGAAUGGAGGGAGCAAAGGAAAGCCACAGACAACAAUAUUCUACAUUCUAGAAGAUCAAGGCCUUCUCAUAAAAAGAAAACAUCUUUGUAUCUAUGAAUUGAGCAAUGAGUUAAAUUGCUACCAACCUCUGGUCAUGCAGCUGAUAUCUGGUACACUGGUCUAUUGACUAAGUAUUCCAUGAGGGAAAGAAAGCAUCAAAAAUUAGCAUGAGAUAAAAAAAGAACUUAAAAUGAGUCAGAACUCUGAUACCUAGCAGUAAUUGGUCCCGAUGAGGAUCAAAAAUUAUAUGAAGGUUAUUAUCUUGAGCAAGAUUUACUCUGCUGGAAUUCUCAGAUGUUCAUAUGUGCUUGAAAAUCUGUCACAUAAGACUGUAUUGACAUCAUACUCUAGUCCAGAAAGACCAUACACCAAAGUAUACUAUUCUUUCUGCAGUACAGUGUUGCAACUACUUCACAUUACACAUUUGUAUGUGAGGCUGAAAUUAAUGUUUUACAUAGAUGAAAGCAUUCCCUCAAUCCUUGUCUUAGUAAUUUUUUUAAUAUAGAAAAUGUCUGAUAAUUCAUCAGUUCCACACCUGAACUGAAGUAACUGUUCUUCUGACUGUAUUCAUAGAGGACAUCUGAGUAGUAGUAGACAUUUCUAGUCAAUGGCGUCUCCCCAUGAAUCUGUUUGAGCCUGAAUAAGAAUGCAUAGUCAUAUUUUAGCUAAGGGA